rnacentral:rRNA from 1 species
GACGAGGGGUCCAAGCGUUGUUCGGAAUCAUUGGGCGUAAAGCGGGUGUAGGUGGCUCUGUAAGUCAGGAGUGAAAUCCCCGGGCUUAACCUGGGAAUUGCAUUUGUGACUGCACGGCUAGAGUGUGUCAGGAGGGGGGUAGAAUUCCACGUGUAGCAGUGAAAUGCGUAGAUAUGUGGAGGAAUACCGAUGGCGAAGGCAGCCCCCUGGGACUAACACUGACGCCUCAUGCACGAAAGCGUGGGGAGCAAACCAGG